UAAGAGGCAGGCAGUAGCUAUCACUACUGGAU
rnacentral:piRNA from 1 species